rnacentral:rRNA from 1 species
CUGGUUGAUCCUGCCAGUAGUCAUAUGCUUGUCUCAAAGAUUAAGCCAUGCAUGUCUAAGUAUAAACAACUUUAUACUGUGAAACUGCGAACGGCUCAUUAUAUCAGCAAUAAUUUAUUUGAUGGUUCCUUACUACACGGAUAACUGUAGUAAUUCUAGAGCUAAUACGUGCGUAAAGUCCCGACUCUUGCGGGGAGGGAUGUAUUUAUUAGAUAAAAACCAAUGCGGGUUCUGCCCGGUUUUGUGGUGAAUCAUAGUAACUUUUCGAAUCGCAUGGCUUCACGCCGGCGAUAGUUCAUUCAAAUUUCUGCCCUAUCAGCUUUCGACGGUAGUGUAGUGGACUACCGUGGCGUUAACGGGUAACGGAGAAUUAGGGUUCGAUUCCGGAGAGGGAGCCUGAGAAACGGCUACCACAUCCAAGGAAGGCAGCAGGCGCGCAAAUUACCCAAUCCUGACACAGAGAGGUAGUGACAAUAAAUAACAAUUCUGGAUCUCACAAGAUUUGGUAAUUGGAAUGAGAACAAUUUAAACCCCUUAACGAAAGCCAUUGGAGGGCAAGUCUGGU